CACACACGCACACACACUUUCCUCCCUCUUCCCCCACCUCCCUAUGCCAUUUUCUGCAGUCAGCGUUCAAAAAAAGUACGAAAACCAUCGGGUAAUUUCCAACUGAACCGAUUACGGACGGCGAAUUUAUCCAAACACUUAAGCAAGGAGAGGAUCCUAAAAUCGAAAAACGAAGGCGGAAGGGGCGAGAAGAACGGGGUGGAGUUGGGUGGCGGAGCGAGUGGGACGUUAACUGGCCAAUAGUUUGCAACUGCCGGUCAACACGCGCAGCCUACUCAGCGCUGCUCCGGAGGCGCGGGACGCCGCCUCCACGUGAGCCGCGCUCCUCCCAGUGCCCGGGACGGUGUCGGGGGCGGGCUGCACGGCGAGAAGGGCAAAAUAAAACCAGCCCGAGAGGCCCUGGCUGGGGUUGAGACUGCAGGAGUAACUUCUGCACCGAGGCAGCGCGCAGCCAGUCGGGGAAGAACUCUGCAACCUGACCGAAAGAAAGUCCGACCCUCUCGGGAGGGCUGCCAGGAUGCUGGAGCGAGUGUCAGGGUCCGAGACUCCCAAGUCGGGCGAGGGCUCCUGCCCCUGGCCAUUGGGUACCCCCCUCCGACCAACACCCCCGUCCCGCUUCAGAGCGUCGGCCCCACAGACCUAGAUGGGCAAGAUACCAAAUACUUUUCUUGGAAUACAUCAUCUUGAUUGAAAACUACUAGGAUAUUUUUGAAAAAAUAGCUCAUUAGCUGGCUGGGGAGAGAAACUUUUAAUUGCCAUUGGAUGGAGAUGGACUCCUCGGCUGGAGGAGGGGAAGGCACCAUGCAUGCGUGGCAGGGAAUGCUGGCCAGCCAGCCAAGCGGGGACUUGGGCCAUGCGCCAUAGCCCCAGGUAGGAGGGUAGGGGGGUGGGAGUCACCACUCG
rnacentral:lncRNA from 10 species